GCACCUUCUGCCUCUUUUAGCUAAGAUCAAGUGUACGUAGUACCUGUUCCAGUCAGCCUUAUAUCUGAUGUCGGGCCCAUCUCUGUCUUCAUGAUAUUAAAUUAAUUUCUUGUAGGGAUGGCCCACCACAGCAGCUUGCUGCUAGGGUCCUUAUCUGUUGCCCAUGUGCUACAUAACAUCAUCCUUGUUAAGAAAUGCUUU